UACGAAGGGGGCUAGCGUUGUUCGGAAUUACUGGGCGUAAAGCGUGCGCAGGCGGCUGCUCAAGUCAGGGGUGAAAGCCCAGAGCUCAACUCUGGAAUUGCCUUUGAGACUGAGUGGCUUGAGUACGGGAGAGGUGAGUGGAAUUCCCAGUGAUAGAGGUGAAAUUUCGUAGAUAUCGGGAGGAACACCUGUGGCGAAAGCGGCGCACUGGACCACAACUGACGCUGAGGCGCGAAAGCUAGGGGAGCAAACAGG
rnacentral:rRNA from 1 species